AAAAAAAAACGAGAAUUCCUGCAUUACCAGGGAGUGAUUCGAUCAAUCGAAAGUGCAGGCGAGAAAAACAGCUGGUCCCAGGGUCACUGGGUUCGUCCGUUGUGAAUGGACCCGUACUCGACGCAAAGAACUAGUGGUGGGGGUUCAAUCAUCGCAAUGAAUUACAACGAGCCAGUCACCGAGAGUGACUCACUACGCUGCUCUAGCCGCUGCAGCUCGAUAAAAGUCUUUUUCUUUGCCCUCCUCGUGCCGGAGGAAUUCGAGAGAGCCCCGGGGAGCAGAAAGAGAGGCGCUCAAGGAACGCCAACAGAAGCGGCCGCUUAUGAAUCAUCUGUGUACGCGGGCAAAAUGCUUCGGCGAGGGGACACACAGUACAGUCGGAGAACAAGAGGACUUUCGUUCGUCGCGACUGCCAACCUAACGGGAUUUCUAGUGCUCUUAAUGGCUCCCUGCUACUAACUCUUUGUUCCUGGGGUUGUAUAACUGAAUUUCGAGAUGGAAAUGGGAAAUUAGUACUAAUUGAGGAUUUUCGCUUUCGGAAGAAGUCUAUAGGCAGAGUGGAAACAUUGGUUAUUGGUUAGGCAACAAUGAUUCCCCCACUAGGAAUGUUACCAGUAAUGCCCACUCUUGGCAAUCUACUACACGUGUCUUUCCAAACCUAAUCACGAAUUAAAAUUCUAUGUUAUUAAAUCCAAACCUAACCUACACUCUUUCCAAAUCGAACCUAACAUUAAAAUUCCAUACUAAAUUCAAACCUCCUUUUUAUUUUAGCCACCACCGACUUGGAUUUCCCCGAUCUGGGUACAGAGCAUUUUUCGGCACCGACUAAAUCCAAACCUAACCCGAAGAACCUAAAAUUAAGAUCUUAUUCUGUUGAAGCCAAACCUAGCCUAAAAUUAGAAUUCUAGUCUACCAAACGCAAAUCUAACCUAAAACUAAAAUCCUAGUCCACUGAAGCGAAACCUAACCUAGAACUGAAAUUAUGAUUCCACUCUCGUCUCUUAACCUUCAGCUAGGUUAUUAUAAAACAUUCUAGAUCUACUUAAAAAAACACUCCAUACCCCAUGAAAUUCGCAAUUCUGACAUAACACCGAACCUACGAUACAUAUGUAUACACCUAACCUUCAAAGAGUCAACCUAACCUCGCAUCAGUGACCAAUUUCUAUGUAUCAGGGCUAGGAGACGUUCGUUUCGCGGCGCAUCGCCAGAAUUCAUAUCGGCGGGAGAACCGUGAAAAAUCGGAAUCCACGUGAGCCAGCUCCUUAAGUAUCUCUGGGUAUCUUUUUUUAUUUUUUCGAAGCGGUCGCUCUCUCGAGCCGCGCAUACCGUGCCAAUUAUUCUCUGCACGGAAGUUCCACGGCCUGGCGUGAGAGAUUGAUGCGAGAGUCGAUGCACUCGGCGCUUAUGUUUUAUUCAUACCUUUCACCGGGUUCGAUAAGAAAAUUAUAUUUAAAGCCGAACGCGGCCGAGUAAUGUCGCGGGAAAGGAGAAAAUCAAUCCGAUCCUCGUCUUUCUCGAAAGUCGUGCCUCUUUUCUAUUUUAUUUGGGAUCGAAGCUAUGAUCUGCGUUUGGAACUUGGGUUUCUAUAAUUUUGUUACUUUGAUGCUACAUGCAGAGCAAAUUACGCAAUUAUAUCUAUGACGGAUGGGACACAGUUGAGAAUAUUUUAUUUAAAUUACUAUUAUUCAUAAAUGUGUAUAUAAAUACGAACAUCAAACUUGCUUUGGUCCACUGUAUGUAGUAUAUUGUACAGUGGCAUAUUUAAUGUAAUAUAAUUAUGUUAAAUUAAUUGGAAUUGAAUUAAUACGAGUUAAGUCACGUUCACAUAAAUUAGGUCUACUAUAGUCAAGCUAAAUUGAGUCGAAUAAAUUAAAUAGACGUGAUCCGUUAAAUGCAUGAUAAUUUUCUAAUUGAAAUUCCCCUGCCUUCUUUCUCUAAACAUUUUCAAAUUCACAGAUAGAAACUUUGCUCCAUAUUAUAGUUAGCGUAGGACUUUCUCAUCGUGAAACGGUCGGAUGAUCGGCGCUCGUGAGAACACACGUAAGACGCGUCCUAUGCAACCUAUGCAAUGUUCAACGAAGUAAUUAGGUGAUUGAACAAAAGACUCGCUGGUUAUUACGUCUAUGAAAGGCUUCUACGAAUUGCUCUCGAAAGCACGUUCCAUUAACCUAAGGCACAGUGCACGGAAUCACUCGAUGGAUCCACGGGAAAUAGCGUCAAGUAUUAGCAUGCUUCAGAAGAUGAAAAUAUAUUUUUCAACAUAUGAUAUCAAAGCUUGUAAAUAAUUUAAAUAUUGCAUAUCGAAAUGAAACAUU